UCCAAACAAUGCAAACAAGAGGAUAACAAUUAACAAAUUAACAAUGCAGAUGAAGCAUUUUAGAUCCUUAGCAAUGUUAAAAAAGGCCAAUAAGAGAUCAAAGACAGCUAUUUCAUGAUCCGUGAUCCAGGAACAUGGCAGUGUUUUAUGUGACAAAUGAAACAGAAAUGUUUAUGUAUUGUAGAAGUAUUAGUUCUUUAAAAAGAUCAACUUUGAGACACUCAGGAA
rnacentral:misc_RNA from 1 species